CGGAGCGCAGGUUCCGAAGGUCACGUCUCUUAUCACAGCAUCAAGAUCUGAGACGCGCCGCUUCCGCGCAGCGGUGAUGAUGUUGAGUCAGACUUGGAUUAGGUCUGAGAUCAUCUGCGGGUGCGGUUAAAUAGGGCGGCGGUUCGAGCUGGGCUGGAAGUGGCUGAGCAGAUAAACGCCCAGACGCCUGUGUGUGAGGCCGAGGCGGCUGCAGAGGGAUCGCUGUGUUUCCUGAUCCAGCAGAGACGUCUCAGACCCAACCCAGGUCCACUCCACAGCGGAUGUGCCUCUUCGCUGGGCCCUGGCAUUCUCCGGUUACUGAGUGCGCACGCAGACAGGUGGAUGCAUUCAUUCGUGUUUGCGUUCACUCUGCUCAGAGAGAUGAGAAGAAGAAUGAGGAGUGAUCCUAAAAGACGUUCACAAGUAGAGGACGCAUGGCAGCAGAGCUACAGCUAUGGACAAAAACACAACAAUAUACAAUAACACAACACUGCACAUAGUCCCAUCUUCAGGUCAGGUCUGCUGUGGUUUUUUAAACCUGCUUACUUGACUGUAGUUCUUGUGUCCAACUGAACCAGGUUGAUAGAAAGUCCUUCAUAAUGUGUUGCUAGGAAACAACACUCCAGUCCUUUGCUUUGUGAUUGGAUCAUCACAAGCUGCUACAUACAACAGAUAAUUCACAUUAUAUGUCACAUGAAUUUGUUUUCUAUACAGGAAGGAUUUAGUUUAAUGUACUUUUCUCCAUUUUAUUUUUAUUUGUGACUAAGUUUGUAAAGACAUUUAUGUGCUAUAACUCAGAAUGACAACGCUGCUACAGGUGGCAUUGAGAUGUGAGUCUUCAUCAGCUCCUCCUCGCUCUAAGUGGGUCGUAUAUUUGGGACAGCUGUCGGGGGUUAGAACGGCUCAUUCAUUUUGUUUCCUGGCACCUACGUUCUACAAACCGAGUCCUUCAGCAGCCAAUAAAGCUCUGAACGGCCCCGGUGGAUGUGCAGUUACCCUGGUUACAAAGCACAAUAUGGUAAAUAAAUGUAAACUGCAUUUUCCAGAGAAAGUGUGAAGUAGAUUAGAAGAAAUGAGGCUCCUGAGAAGCUCAAAGGUUCAGGUUUCCAGUCAGAUGCCAACGUCGUUGUGGUUCUCAUAAUGUGACGACAUGGACCUGUCGGUUCCUGCUUCCUGUUCCACCGUCUGCUGUAGGGUUCUGAGGCGUUCUCCUCAGUGUGGAAGCUGAGUGAGCGUCGUGUUCCUCAGCUGGAGAGUGAAUGGCAGGUCAUUAGGACCACGUGUGCGUAUCUCACAGGCCUGUUGUAAAUGUGCCAUGUUAUCUGAGCAGAGCAAACAAGCCCAACUGUACAAACGCUGUGGUUCGGCCAUGAAUGCCGGGCUGGAGCCGCUCCCCUCCGCACGCCGCUGCGC